AGGAUGUGGUCACGGUAUUUAUUCAUAGUAUAUUUUCACAAUGUAUUAAUAAUGGAGAAUAACACUUAUUCAUACACUGAGUAUAACUUUUCCUGGAGCACUCUGGAGUUUGUUGGGGGCUGGAGACUACUGCCAGGUUUUUCCUAAUCUCUUUGGUUUUUGGAAAUGGGCAGGGUUUCUCAAACCGAGGGUCUGCCACGGGCCAUUGGCGAUGACUUCCCUUCAAUCAGGUUGGAAGGGCAGAAAGACCAUGGCUUCGCUACUUCCAUUUUGGAAAGAAGUAACAAAGAGUGGAUUAAUGGAAGAUCGGAAAGACUCAGGCAUUCUGUAGUGCACAGUUCAUUUCUUCUCACAAUCGCCAAUUACUGCAGCAGCCAGGAACACUGGCAGGGUCUUAGGCUCACGGCCUGGAGAGAAGUCAGUCACAGGCCAAUGUUUUCAUGCAAAAGUCAAUCCCGAUGACUGAGAACCUGGUUCUGAACUUCUCCAGAUGUGCUGGGGGUGUGAAGGUCACCCCCAUUCUGUGUAUCCUCUGUCUUGCACCUGGUAAACUUGGACCCCAUUUUAGAAUAUCUUGGCAAAAUGCUGAGAGGAUCUCACUUUCGCAAUGUCAUUCUGCAAUGAAACUGCUUGGGGGCCCUCCAUUUACCCGCAGAGAGACCAAGGCACCAUAAAGUGAAGCAAAGUAUUAAUAACAAUAACAACAACAGGAACAAAGUCCAACUCUCUUCCGAAAGUGGCAUGUCCAAAAAUAAGGGUAAACAGCUGGUCUUACUUUAUCCAAGUGAUUCUGUCCAUUGCAAAUUGUCCUUCCGUUCCUCCCUUUUAUUAAAAGUGUUUAUAUUUCUGAGUCUGAUGAUCACUUAAAUACAUAUGAUAUUAGCACCAAGGCAGCAAUUUUUUUCCCAGAGAUCACAUGAAACUGGAUAGAUGCUUAAUGUAAUUAAUAGCUGGUACAAUCUGUGACAUCACUAAGUUACUUAUUGGCUAAUGAUACUUUCCUAGGAAUGCCAAAGAUACCCUUAUACGACUCUUGUAGCACCUUGAUGGCGGCUAAGUUGUUUUAAAAAACAAAUUACAAUUUAAAAAAAGUAACAAUAAAACAUUUACAGAGAGAAAGUAAACAAUAGUGUACCGUGAU
rnacentral:lncRNA from 1 species